GGGCUCUAUGAAAGAGCAUCUGCUUGGCAUGCAGAAGGUCCUGAGUUUAAUCCCCGGCAUCUCCA